rnacentral:rRNA from 1 species
AUGGGCCUCUUCGGCAAAAGCAAUGGCAAGAGGAAGGGCACCCCCGGCGCCUCGUCAUCCCGUGCUCCCCCUCCCCCUCCACCGCCGGCGCGUUUCCGCCCUGGACGCCGGCGCCUACACAUCCCGGUGCACCAAGCGCGGUGGCACUGGGAGUACAGGCACCCCCUCCCCUACCCCGACAUGACGCUGCCGCACCAUUGGCAUUUGGAUCCAAACCGGAUCCCGGUGCCGGCGGUUCCGUGGACCCAACGGGCGCACGAUGACGAGGUGCGUCGGCGCCGCACGCUGCUCACGCCGGAGCAGCGUCGGCUUCCCGAGUACGCCACCAACUCUCCUAACUGGGAGGCUUGGUUCGCCCUCGAACACGAGGAGCAACGACGCUCGGGUGUCGACGUCGUCCCGCCGCUGUUCCACCGCCGCCCCCGCAGGUAG